rnacentral:lncRNA from 1 species
GAGCUCUCUUGGUCUCUCCACUCUCCGAGUUAGAUCCGCACCACCUCCGACCUCUCCUCAGGCUCUCUCGAUCUCUCUCCACUCUCUAGGCUCCACUGCUCGAGGCUCUCCCCCUCUUGGGUUCUUUACCUCUCUUUUGUUUACUCUUCACUCUUCAGUCAUUUGAGGUUCAAGGCCCAUGGGCUGGCCCGACUUGGCCGAUGGCCCUUAAAGGGCUAGGCUGGGCCAGCUAUAUUGUGUCCUAUUUUUUGGCUGGGCCUGGUUCGGCCUACCUCAUCAAAUUUUAGACU